UGCAGAUGCAGAAAAUGGGAAAGGAGAUAUGAACAAAAAGAAUAAGCCAAUUUUUAGACAAUCCUUAAUUACACAAUUCAUACCUAGACAGAGUAAUAUAGAGCAGAUUUGUCAGGAAAACGAUGUUAGUACUCAAGGAAUUAAUAGCAAAAGUACUCAUAAUAAAGAAUUUUGUAAAAUCAAAUAUAUACCAGCACUAACAAAUAAAAUAACGAACAUCUUUAAAAAGUAUGAAAUAUCCGAAAUAAAAUUCGCUAAAUACAAUAACAACAAAAUCGGCACCUUAAUAUCAAACAUGAAGGACAAAAUCAAAACUUUAGAUAAAGUAGAUACUAUAUACCAAUUAAAUUGCAUUGAUUGUAAUAAAAUAUAUAUAGGGGAAUCAAAACAACAUCUUAAAAAACGAAUACAACAACACAAAUACGAUACUAAACAAAUAAAAAUUCAAAACAAAACAGCUUUGUGCCAACAUUCUGUAACUUUAAAUCAUAAGUUUGAUUUCGAUAAUCCUAAGAUAUUAACAACAAAUAAAAACAUACAAAUAAGGAAAAAUUUAGAGUCAAUCUUCAUAACAAAAAAUAAUAAUAAAACAGUUAAUUUUAAAACCGAUGUAGGAAGAAUAGGGGCACAUUAUGCGGAUAUUUUAAAUAAAUUAGUGAUAUAAUAGAAUAUGGGAGAGAAAACAGGUUUCGGACAAAGGAAUACAAUUGUUAUCUGACCUUGUAUGAAAAUUUCUCUUAGACUUGAUUCGUAAGCAUGAUAAGAUGUAUCGGAAUAAAUUUAAGAAACAAUUAAUGAUAAAAAUUGAUGAAUAGUCUUAGAUAAGAGUAUUAUUAACCUGAUGAUGGGAACAUUUCCCGAAACGUCGUUAUAAUUGGAGUUUUAGAAAUAAAGGAGGGAAUGAUGUCACAA